rnacentral:rRNA from 1 species
UACGUAGGGUGCGAGCGUUAAUCGGAAUUACUGGGCGUAAAGCGUGCGCAGGCGGUUUUGUAAGCCAGAUGUGAAAUCCCCGGGCUCAACCUGGGAACUGCAUUUGUGACUGCAGGGCUGGAGUACGGCAGAGGGGGAUGGAAUUCCGCGUGUAGCAGUGAAAUGCGUAGAUAUGCGGAGGAACACCGAUGGCGAAGGCAGUCCCCUGGGCCUGUACUGACGCUCAUGCACGAAAGCGUGGGGAGCAAACAGG